UACGAAGGGGGCUAGCGUUGCUCGGAAUCACUGGGCGUAAAGGGUGCGUAGGCGGGUCUUUUAAGUCAGGGGUGAAAUCCUGGAGCUCAACUCCAGAACUGCCUUUGAUACUGGAAGUCUUGUGAGUUCGGGAGAGGUGAGUGGAACUGCGAGUGUAGAGGUGAAAUUCGUAGAUAUUCGCAAGAACACCAGUGGCGAAGGCGGCUCACUGGCCCGAUACUGACGCUGAGGUGCGAAAGCGUGGGGAGCAAACAGG
rnacentral:rRNA from 1 species